CCUGCCGAGAGAAAAUUCAGAGAGCUUUACUUCACAAGGAUGUUUUGCUGAACAAGGAGCAAACCGUUCUCAAACAGGGAGAUUACUUGCAACUCAAAGGGGAGGAGUAAUUUUGUAGCCAGUGCGUGCCCGUAUACAGCAAUGACAAGGUAGCGGGCGGAGCGUUCCAGGCAGAGGAACAGCAGGGGCAGAGGCAAGGAGGCAAGAGUACUUGAGGGAGAAUCAAGUGUGCUUUCUGACUUUCCCACUGGGAGCUUCCCUGUAAGAGGCCCUUUGUGAUCUGUCUCCUGACGCAAACACUCAUUCCUCUGACACAGGAGUCUUCCGGGGGGCACACCCUGGCCAGUGAACACUCCCACCGAAAAGUGGGUUUCACAGAAUCUUUUGGAAUUCAGAUGCUACCCCAGAAAGAAUGGGGAGGGAAGAAAAAAGACUGGCAUUAACAGGCUCCAUCUGAAGAGUGUAGCUGAGAGACCGAGAAAGCACUGAAUUGAAUGAGUUUACCCCAAAGUGGCCAGAUUUCACUGGGUGAAAGGGAAGCUCGUGAUAAACGUGAAGUUCUACAAGAAGAAUAAAGUUGGCUUUUAUACGCCUGAAUAUGUGCUUUGUAAAAUUUGUAUCUAUAAGGCAAUAGAGCUCUUCGUGUUUCCUGGAAAACUCAUGAAUCUGGACGUGUGAGCUGUUUGGGGAAAAUGUGCACGGACUUUCCUGUCACUUCUCUCUCAUACAAUGUUAAUGUUCUACGGUCAUGGGACAGGGGUAUAUUUCCAGCCGUAGCUAAUACGUCACCUGGGAUAGCAGUGUUCGCAGAGCAAGAAGACGACCUUGACUUGCUGCUUCAUGUAGUGGUGACCGGUCUGCCCAGGAACCUGUUGGAAAAGAAGACGAGAUCUGUAUGUCCAUCUACCGAAGGAGUGACCGAUAGCACGUGCAUGGGACUCGAGGCGCCUUGUUUGUUUGAACUCUGCUUGCUUAACUCCCAAGCGACCCCACCUCAUUCCCGGUAAUGCUGGAGAAGAAUCUCUGAAAUGAAUCCACAACGUGGGAGAAUCACAGUCUAGGAUCCCGUCAUUAUCUCCUAAGAAGACAGUGUCUGGUCCCAAACAGAAAAAGACAACAGGUGCUGUGAGGCCAGAAGCUUCCGUGUAAUCCUUCGUUUCUAUUCCUGACAUCCCACAGGCAGAUACCAACCUCAGCUCCUUGAGAGUGAGCGUGAGUGGUGUGGCCAUCCUGUGUUCCCAGCACCGACUCUGCGCGUUUGCAUUUUCUCAGUCUCCCUCGCCACUGCUCCACAGUGGGCUCUUCCUGCUUCCUCAGACACAGUCAUGGUGAUCUUCCUAAGAACCCUGACAGGUCAGGUGGAGAUGUGGAGGGGGCUUCAAACCGGGCUGUGGACGGAAGGUGUAUCUACAUUGGACAUCUGACCAUCAUGUAUUUGCUACUGCAAGUCGGAGGACACAGUGAGAAGGUGCCAGCAACGAACCAGGAAGAGGGUCCUCAUGUAACAUGACUGUGUGGGAACCUUGAUCUUGGACUUCCAGACUCCAGAGCUGUGAGAAAUAAAUUCUAUUAUAAGCUACUUAGUCUCUGGUAUUUUUUUUUAUAGCAGCACAAGUGGACUAAGACAGGAUUAUUUUGUCUGCCACCAAAUUCCUACGCUGAAGCCCUAACACCCAAUGCGGCUGACUAUAUUUGGAGAUAGAGCUUUUAGGAAGUAAUUAAGGGGAGGCAAGGUCAUGAGGAUGGGGCCCUAAUCUGAUAGGGUUGGUGGACUUAUAAAAAGAGAGAGAUCUUUCUCUCCACAAACAUGCACCAAGAAAAGUCCAUGUGAGCAUAUGGUGAGAAGGUGGCCAACUAUAAGCUAGGAAGACAGUUCUCACCAAGACCUGAUUAUGUGGGCACUUUGAGCUUAGACUCUAAGCCUCCAGAACUAUGAGAAACUUAAUUUCUGUUGUUUAAGCCACCAGCCUGUGAUAUUUUGUUACGGCAGCCCAAGGAGACUGAGACAGUGAUUAAAUGCUUUGCUUCAAGUUAAAAUCAGUACCUGAUAAAUCCAGGAAGCAAACUCAGUCCUUUUGAAUGUUCAGUGAAACUUUAUCAUAUAAUAUUUUCUCUUCAACCACAGAGCAUACAGUAUACUUAGUAGGCUGUUAAUCCAUAAUGGAUCCAUAAUAAAUACUACAAAACAAACUAAUUAAACACACUAAGAAGUGUUACCUUCUAAAAAUGAAAAAGAACCGUGGAAUUGUUGUCUACAUUCUCAUAUAAUAAUAUGUAUAUUUGCAAUAGUAGCAACAAUAGCUGUACUCUCUUAUUCAAUUAUAAAAGUGGGACAUUAAAUAAGACAAUAAAUACACUGUCAAUGAAAAUCAAAAUACAUUGUAAUCAAAAACCAAAAAUCACAAUGCUGCUUUCCAAAUAUAACCAAACCUUUUGUUGUAUAUACUUCCUAAUGGUUUUCUAAAUGCACACUUUUUAAUCAAGAUGCAACCAUACUGCUCAGAUUAUUUUUAACCUUUUGUUUUCAUUUAUAGAUAUAAUUCUACAACAUUUUAAAUGGCUAUAAUGCAUAUGUCAUUGUAUAGGUAUACCAUUAUUUAUUUAAUCUCCUACUGAAUGUUUAGGUGGUCUUUAGUUUUGAGGAAUUAAUAUUAUUUCUUAUUUUUGUGAAUGUGUCUAAUUAUCUGCUUAGAGUAAAUUCUUAAGAUUCUGAUAUAUGUCAUCAAAUUAUCUUCAGCAAAAUGGGCCUGUUUACAUUCUCAUUAACAGUGCUGGAAACAUUUGAAGCUAAAUCUAAUGAAAGUUUGCCAAGACUUUUUUUUUUUUUAUUGAAGCACAGGACAUUUCCUUUUUAUUUUUAAUAUAUUUAAACUAUGUCAAGGAAAGUUGUAUAAAACUCUAUUUUCUCUACACAAAAUUAGAUUUUAAAAUAUAAUUUUACAGCUUAUUUUCAACUUUCUCUGGAGUCUGUCUUAAGUGAAAAUGUGUGAGACUCACCCAGUUGAAUUAAUUUUUUUGUUUGUUUUUAGCCACCUUGCCGAACUCUUGUAUGCUGCUCGUACCUGUGGUCAAGUGCAUAUUUAGGUAGUUUAGUCUUCACUGAAGAAGGAACAAAAUGCUCUUUAUUCUACAAUAAUUGCCUAAAUUCCUCCUGGAUCUAAGGACCGUGCAAAUGAUGAGACUAUUUAUUACUGCUUUCCAACCUCUAACACAAUGCCUAGCCCACAGUAAUCGCUCAAUAAACACCUGCUGACUACUGUCUUCUUUGUAGUCAACUACUUUCUAUUCAUGCUAAUCUAUCCUUAAUUUUUAUUGGUAAUUGUACAGUUAGAAAGUAACUGAAAGGCAAUGUGUGCUGGGGAGGAAGCAUUAGGGAGUUUUCUCAGUCUUUUAAAGAAGUGAUAGUAUUUCAUCCUAUUUAAAAGUAUUCUUUUAGAUUUUUAAAAUUUGUAAUACUUUAUCAGCAAUAUUCUCAGAUUUCAUCUGUUACACAGUAAAUGCAAGUCUUGCAGCGUUUUUGGAAAUAGAGGUUUCCUGGAACAAGGGUCACCUUCGAGUCUGCAUUCCCAACAGUUAGGUCUAUUAUUGACCAUACUGGUGUUCCACUAAAAUUUACAUUUAGAGUAUUCUUUUUAAAACUAAUUUCCUCACAAAGCUCCCCUCUGGUACUGUGCUCAUUCUCCUUUAUACGUUUCACAUUUUUUUAUUCCUAAAAUUAAUAACUUUGUGUCAGCGUAUUCUAAGGAACCCAUUCUAUUCAUUUUCUUGCCUCCAUCACCCUCCUACGUUCUGGUCCAAUUUAAGUGAUUCAAAAUGUUCAUCUUUGAUGGCUUGUGAACAGUCUUUUCCUGCUUAACAGCAUCUUUCUUUGUUUCCAUACCAACUUGGAAGCACCUGCGGACACAGAGAGGUAAACAACCCAGAGGCUAAGAGUUUACCGUUGUGUUUAAUCUACAGUCAUAGAAAUGGGUCCACAGAUGCAUUCUCCAUACACUAAAAAGUGAAAACAGUGCGGUCCUCUGCCAUGCCAUACAUUUACAUUUCAGAACCCGCGUUCUGGAAAGCACCCACAGCUUAAAGUUAGUAUUUGCGAAAAACAGGUCAACAUAGUUUACUGCAGGAUACCAACGGAUUUGCAAUGGCCGCUAUACUAACCUUGACUGGUCAGAAUAGCCCAGCUAGCUUUUCGUUUAGUAGAACGUUCUUCUACACUCGCUAGCCUUCUUUUCGUGAGGAUCUGCUGUACGCAGUCCCUUUCAACAGCAAUAUCUGCGGGCAUCGUGUCGUAGACGUUUCUGUCUGCGACAACCAGGUAUCAUAAGUGCAAUUGCUCUAGCCAGAAGAAAUACCAGCGACUGGAUUUCUAACUACUUUUUCCUUCCCUUGAGACUUUCACAAAGAUUCCUGUGUGCUAACUGGAGAAUGGCCUGGAUACUGAGCUCUAUUCAGAAACACUUGGAGCGGGGUUAGUAAGGAGCAGGUGGGGGAUGGGCCAGAAACGCAGUAGCAUUUUCUAUUUUUAAAGUGGAGACUCAGCAGCGGCCGGAAGUAUUUAACUAUUUGCACGAUACAGAAAGGAAAAAUGUGUAAAACUGCAUUUCCUACUGGGAAACAGAACAGAAACGAAUUCUACGUUUAAAAUAUGAAAGCCUAUUUGAAUUAUUGACAAGUCAAUCCCAUGUAAAAUUGCCCCUUGAAAACAGCUACAGACAGAACGGUAGAGCCAGAAAGUUCUGUUGUGACCAGUGAGUGGUUAGCCUUUCUUCUUCAUCCUCGGGGGUAAACAGUGUUUGUGCAUUAGGGUCAGCUGGUACGUAGCUCAUGUUCGUUUCGUAAGAAUCUAACUUUAGAAUUGGCUUCCCUACAAAAUCACAGUCCUGUUAUUAUUUAUAUAGGCACAGCUCACUAUUGUGAUUUUUUUGGAGGUCAUUUCUAGGCCAAAAGGCGUCAGCGGUCAAUUUAAGUACAACAGAUCUUUCACCCUAAAAGGCAGAGCAGAGCAGAGAGGAAAAACCGCACCUGUGCCUCGUAUUUUUUGCUGGCAUGUAAGUUAGAACAGGGGACGCUGUCCAUGACUGAGUCAAGAGCAGCGGCUGAACCAUGGUUGGUCUCCAGGGAUUAACUGAGCUGGCGGUCAUGUUACACAGUAUUAAUAUAUUGAGAUCUGUCUUGAUGAAAAACGGUCAUAGAGUCUGUUACCUACCUUUACUUUUUUAUCACUAUUUUUUAGACUCCACCUUCUGUUGGCAUAUACAGAAAAAAAAUUAUUGGGGUAUUGCCUUUACAUAACAAGCUGGGUAAGAACAAAAACAUUUCAUGCGUAAAAUUAUUUCCCAUGCGCUACCCCGUUAAUAGUUGCUGCCAGAUUACCUUGCCAGUAUUUACCUCCAAGUCAUCACUAAUAAACACCAAUAUCUUUCCCUUAUCUUGAAUUAAGCUUUCAUCCUACGAUCUAUGUGAUCUGAGGCAAGCAGCUUAAUGAUACCUCUUCUGUAAAAUGAAGAACUUGGAUACGAUGACCGUCUUCUGGCUCUAACAUCCUUUGAUCCCAUUCUUUGAUUGGGAUUCUAUGACUGACAUACAAAGGGCAAGGGUAUACGAGCUGGGCGCAUAUUACAUUACCACAAAGGAGGCCACACCUUCCCAGGAAAAUGAGCCCAGGGCCAACUCAGCUGAGGCAGUCUGUAUGGGGGGCACAUUCCUAGGGGUCUGAGAAGGCUGAAGGGUGGUCGAUGAAGGGGCUUAUUCAGUCCGUUCCCUCUCCAUGUCCAGUUGUCACUAACUGUAGGUUUUUGUCCCCAGGUGGUGGCCACAGGGGAGUGUGCUGAUCUAUACAAGCCGCACGGUACAGAAAUCGAAGUUCAGAGAGGGUAGGUGCUGUCCUCAAGGUCAUCCAGAACAUUACCAGCGAAGCAAGACUGGAACCAGCCAGGAUUGUCCGCUCCGCACCAGUGUUCUUUCCAUCUGCCCUCGACAUCGUGGGCAGACACACUAAACUGGUGAGCAUAAAACCAGGAAGGCAAAAACAGAUCUAACCACCUCUGGCCCCUACGCCGUAAGGUUUCUGUAAGGACUAAAUGAGCUCAUGAUCGCAAGGGCUCCGGACAGCCCGUGGCGUCGGACGGAGACCGGAGUUGGUGUUUGCUCUCAGAUUCUCAUAAAACGACACUUUCCUCGUCCUUCCUUCUCUUUCCCCGCUUGGUUACAACGUUCUGUCCCUGCCGACUGCCAGCCUGAAAUUUACACAGGUCCACAAACCCAUACAAGGAAUGAAAUGGGCAACCCGUGUUCUCUAGUCUGAGCCCGACAGCUGCUGGGGAGAAAAUCUGAUAUGCGCCACGGACAAGGACUUAACCUGCCAGGGAUUAAGAGGAAAGAAAAUAAAAGGGCAAGAAAGUUUGGCAGAGAAAGUUAGUAUCUGGUGCUGUGAUACUUUGGAGGCUCCUUCCACGGCCCUCACUCCAGAAAAACAAAGAGAAAUUUGUGAUACGCCAUUGUGCUUUGACAGCAAUGCCUUUGCGGGAAAGGUGAGGUUUUUCUACAGCAGAGCCGUGAGCAGGUUGGCCCAGGAACAUUCCCGUCUGAAGGAUUUCUGUCAACAAGAGUUCCUUUGACAGAGGAAGAUGGCAGAAGAAAUGUCUGCAAGUUGGAAAAUGAGCUUAAUGUGCUAAAUCGUUGCCGGAAUCCACAGAACCGCCAGAGAGCCACUCCGAAGACGUGUCCUGCUGAUUCCACGAGGAGGAGAUGCCCAGAAUGUGAAAUCAUCAAAAAGUCAAGAGAAGCCUUCAUUGGACCACCAACCUCAGCAUUAAUUCAGCGUUUUCUAUUCCCUCCUUGUCUUGACCGUUCUCAGGCCUCAGCUUUUCCUGACAUUUUGGCUUCGUUUUCCUUGGAAAUUGCCUCAGCUUGGCCUGGUGACCUUUCCACGUAGUGUGCUUUGGCGAGCUCCCCCACCUGGCCUUAGACGGUAAUGUCUCCAAAGGCAGUAGGGGGCUCUGUAGGUAUUUCGCAAAGAUAAACAAACGUGAACAUGCCUAACGCCGAGGUCCGUGAAGCCAAGAUAAGAUUUUCCUUCAUACGUAUCUAGCACUCACUCAAAAAUAGGGGAGCACGAAAAGAUGUAUGAAUAUGAAUGGAAACCAGCACAAACAACAGACCCAUAGGUAUUCGAAGAGUGAAAUUUCCAGAAACGUAGUAUGUGUCAGGUAUUAUAUUAAGCUGAUAGAGAUAGAAGUCAAACUUCAACAUCUCAGCAAGAAACUGGGAUCUUUAAAAAGGACAUCACAGAUUUAAAAAGAAAAUAGAAAAAAAUAGAUGUCUUGGAACUAAAAAAAACACAGUACCUGAAAUUAAGAACUCAAUAGGUGGUGUUCCAACAGAUUAGAUACAACCAAGAGAAAGUUAGCACAUCUGAAGACAAGUCAGUACAAACCAUCCAGGAUGAAAGGGGCAAAAGAAAACACAAGAGGAAUGGAAUUAGAAAAUCUAACAUAUAUUUAAUCAAGGUGUUAGGAAAGAGAGAAUGUUCAGAAGCGAAAUUUGGAACGAUAACAGCUGAGAGUAUCCCAAAACUAAUAAAAGAUAUCCAUCCACAAAUUCCAGAAGCCCGAUGGCUCCCAAGCAGGCUAAUUGAAAAAAACAAAAAAUCCUCCUCAUCCAGAACUAUGAAGGAUCUGAGAUAUUAUUCGACUUGCCAUGUAAUAAGUAAGCCCGCCGUAGUUUCUUGGCUGCUGACAUCACCACAUGAGCCUCCUGGGUCAAAGAUUGUAUUUCAGGUCAGGGGACAAGAAUAGAGUAUUUGCAUCAAUUCCUCUUGCCUCCAAGGCCCUCAGGGACAACACAGAGGGGCCCAGGUAUGUGCUGCACGUGUAGUGGAUUUGUGUCACAGCUGAGGAACUCCAGGCUUUAGCAGUCCCAAUCUUUUGUGAUGGGCGGUAAGCCGGACUAAACUUCGCCCUGAAGAGAGACUAUUAUCAUUAUAUCAUGCUAUGCACAAACUUGCCCUCUGCUCCAAAAAAAGACAUUGAUCUCUAUUUCCCAAGGCUAUUUGCUAUGCAAACGUCCUUUAAAGGAGAGUCUAGAGAAAAAGCAGCAAGUACCUCUGCUUGGAAGAAGAGCACAGACUCAAGAGACCCAUGGAAAAUUGUAUGCCAACAUCUUCACCCUUCAUUUCUAUACCAUCUUGGCUUCUGGCUGGUUCUCCCAAGAGUCACUCUUUCGGCCACUAUGACUGACCUGAAGACUCAACGGAAACCUUGGCAAAGGCUGGGACCAAAUCCAUCCAAUUUCUCUCACACAACAGGUGAAUAAGGCUGCUAUUUACAAGACCCCAAGCAGCGGGAUGCGGAAAAUCUUGCAGUACCGAUGUCAACCAUUCCCUCUGGAGUCCCGGACCCAAGCAGCUGAAAAAUUCCCCCAGGAAGCAGCUGGGAGAGGAUGGCCCUUUUCUGGAGACAGCCACAUGCCGUGUGACCAGUCUGCCUCACCCGGGUGUGUGGAUCAGGAAGAAGUGUGACAGACUGCAUAACCUGCAAUGCCAAAUUUUACAUGUCCGAAUCAUUGAUUUGGAUGAAGAACGACUCAUCAAAGUCCGUUUGGGUUGGCAGUGAUCUCGGAUUUGAAUAUUGAGCCUCCAGUGCAUAAAUGGGACCAGAGGGCUUCUAACCACCUCCGAUGCUGUCACUUUGCAACCUUGAAGCAACGCCUUCCCAGGCGCUGGAGGGCAGGAUGUCUUAUCUGCAGGUGGCAGGGCUAUUCACAUCUAGCUCUUAGACCCAGGGCUUUGCCCCUGAGGGCGUGUUUCUGGCCGAGUUUUCUAUUGCUUACUCUUCCCCUCCUCCCCAAACCUUGUGCCAUUCUUUUACUUCUGGUAAUAGCAAAUACAUUAAACAAUGAA